CUCCAAUAGGCAUAGUGUAGUAUAUCAUUGAUUCUUUUGGUAAUCCAAGGCCCUGAAGCAUCCCAUAAUUCAAUAAUCGACAUCAAGUCCGGAUCAACAUUAUCGGCAUAUGAUAUUUUCCCUCCAUAGUAUUCUGAUAUAGGAUCUCCUUUAAAAAAUCCACCAUAGUGAAUUUCAAGAGUCCUCAGCUCCAUCUAUAUGUACAAUAAUUAGAAUAAAAAGAAGAAUAAUAAUUAAAGCAAGCUAUGGAAAAGCAGUGGAACCCCAAACAAUACACCUCAAAUAAAACAAAAAUAUAAAUGCAUCACAUACAAAAACAUAAAGCAAAGUGGGACCAAAAGCUCAGAUAAUAUCAAACCAACCUUCAACACUAAAGCUUAAUUAUACCUCAGCAUAGGAACAUCAGGGACCAUAUGUACUAAAAUAAGGAAUAAAAUAAUGCAAAACUACAAAACCCAAAGGAAUUUCUUCAACCACAGAAACAUUAGGGACCACAUGUACUAAAUUAACAUUUCAACACUAAAGCUUAUAAUUAUACCUCAGCAUAGUAAGAGGGUCCUCGUUCAAGCACGAUCACUGUCCCUAUGUCGAUUCGCUCGCCUUUCUCCUUGGUUCGAAAGCUAGCGCUUGCCUUUCGCCUACGCCUAGGGUUCGAAUCGCCUCGUCCUCCUCGCAGGAUCGAGCCCUAGAUUUUUUUCUCCAACGACGAAACGAAUGACAUUCCACUUUCUCUCUCUCCC
rnacentral:lncRNA from 1 species